rnacentral:lncRNA from 1 species
UGGUUUUUAAUUUUUUUAAUUAUUCAUUUUUCUUGUCAUAUAGGAAGGCUAUUUUCUCAAGCUCCUUUGUGACAUUAUAUGGACCCUGGGUUUAUAUUCUGGCCAAAAGGAUGUAGUAGGAACUUUUAAAUAUCUCUUGUAGGCCUGUCUACAAAAUUCUCAAACAAUAAGUCUUACUUUAUUUUUCCUAUCUGCAGCAAGUUUGGGUGUCACAUGCUUAAGAUUACAGUGACACAAAGAUUGAAUAAUGAUGGAUCUCUGAGAUGUUGCUUGACAGACAGCCUCCAUGAAGAGUCAAGCAAACUGUUUCGAACUAUGACAUAAGCAAAAAAAACCAAAAAAAUAUGCCGGCUAUUACAUGGUUCUGAAAUUUGGAAAGAAAGUGGACUGUCUAGGACAUCAGAGUUUGAAGAAAGAUGCCAGAAUGGAUUGCUUGUGUUUUUGUCUUAUCGAUCCCCAACUGUGGGUGAAGAUGCUUGUAACCCAGAACCACAAUUGAGAUGCAAUACUUGUUCUCAAUAAGACCUCAACAUAAAAGCCAAAACAUGGCCACCUGCAGAGGCAAGAUGUACCUCUGACUUCAUAUCUGGUUUAGAUGCCACACAUGUAUCAAGAGGAUAUGAGAAGGUUUAUCACUCACAUAAUGAGACUUUUUAGGAACCCAGGACAACUAACAAGCAGCCUAGCACCCCAGAUCGGUGAGGGAGAUGGAAGUUCCAUUGAAUGCCUGCUCAAGAGUCAAGUGCUGUGUGUUGUGAGAAUUGAUAUGAAUGCCUCGUUCACUAUCCCUGAUAUCCGGAGCUCUAAAAAGGAUAAGGGAUUCUAAAUGCAAAUGAAGGAGUCACUCAUCAAAGGCUUCUAUGGCUAAACUUCAUGACUAUAUACUAAACAGGAAUCUAACCAAGAAACUCACAGCUGCUCUUGAGAAGAUGCCCUGCUAAACCACUAAGACAAAAAUCACUUUUUAUGACCUCACCCAGUAUUUGAUAGAAAGAGAUUAGCAGCUUGCCUGUAAUCUACUCUCUUCAUUUACUGGGAGAUUCUCUGCAAAGAGAAGUGACCCAAUCAAAUUUCCUUGCCAAAUACAUUGUUGGUAUGUUGUGGUGGACGUAUCUGCAUAUAGAAUGCUUUAGCAAGAUAACCCUGGUCUCUUGAGAAUUGCUUAUGGUGAAGAAACCCGAAAUCCAUCGAUUCAUGGAGUAUGACUUUAUAAGAAAUAUCAUGUAACCUGUAACUGUUACAGUAUACAACGAAGUUUUGUGAAUAAACAGCUUACUUAUGUGCAAGUAAUGGCUGCAUACAUUUCUUACAGUCAUUGAUUGUUAAAUCUUGACCAGAAUCUGUCCUAAUGUGAGAAGAAAGGACCUAGAAAGCUUCUGGGUAAAUGAUUACAUAUAUAUACAUAAUCUUAUUCAAUUUCAUGUGCACUUGAGUUUAUUGGUAAAGUUUAAUAUAAAAUAAAUUUUCUAAUUUGUGUGAGUCUCAUUUGACAAUCCAACCAUGUGUCUUUGUUCAGGGUGUUCCCAAACAAAUUGUCUUUCAGAACUUUGAAGUACAAUGUCUAAUAAAGAAGAGGGAAUUAAAAAUAUGAUGAGAAUUUGAUGUCCUUUGUGUUAUCUCAGUUAUAUCCCUGUGACUUUGUACAAUUUAUAUAGCUGCUCACACACUAAACUCUCUGUUUCAUUAUUGGCCUCUUGGAAUAAAUUUUAC